rnacentral:snRNA from 1 species
CUUGUUUGGUACAAUUUAAU